GGACACAGUUCACCUGUAACACACCAACACUUUGACUCUUCUGUCAGCCUUCGACAGAUUCAGGAAAUACCCUCCAAUGUCUGACUGUGAUAAUCAUGUGAGGCGAAGUCGUACAAAACAGGAGUGACUUUCAGUGAACGAUUGGUGACAUUUCCAUCACAGCGUCAUUAACACAGCUACAGACUCGUCCACAUAAUGUACCGUGAUGUUUUUGGUCCAGUUCCAUCAUUUGCCUAAUGUCACCUCUCAUGUCAUAUAUUUACCUACACAUUUGAACUAACAUUCUUUUUUACGGUAAGAUAAUAUUUACUGCUGCGCCAAUUAAACACCUUUAAAAUGUAAUGUCAAUCAUCACACGUAGCCUAUUUAGUCAUUAAGAUAUUGAUGUUUCAAAAGAAUGCCAAAACAUAAAAGUGCCAGUCUUUUGAACGGCUCUUUUCAGUGAACGGCUCCUGAUUGAACGGCUCCCUUCAAAGAGCCAACAGUCCCAUCACCACCUCAGACUAAAACACAUGUCUGAUUCAGUCACAUGACUUGCUCCAUGUUAGUAGGUCCAUACAAAGUCGUGGUCAUUUAUUUAUUUAUUUUUAUUUAUUUAUUUACACAUCGUAAAACAGCAAGAGAAAUUUAAAAAAAGAACAUUCAAACAAGUAACAAUCAUUGUACAGGAGAGGUUAGAGGCCAAAAAAGGCUUAUAUGAAUACCUCCCUGAAAAUGAACAAUACACAAGAAGAAAAAAAAAAGAAAGAAAAAAGAAUUAAAAAUACAAUAUAACUGAAUUAAUAAACUAAAGUAAAAACAAUAAAAAUGCAAAUCACACUACAAAUCAUCAAAUGCAAAUCAAAUGAUGUACAGCCUUAUAUUUUUUUCAUGAAUUACAGUCCUUUUCAGAUGCUUUUUAAACAAGAUAAAGAUGAUGUCGAUUGAAGUUCAGGUCGUAGAUUAUUCCACAGAUUUGGUCCACGAUAUUUCAGAGAAUACUAACAGACCGAAGUUCGGCAGUAUGGAAGAUAAAAUUUGUUUGAAUAGUGUGUAGGAUAAUUGUGAAUAACAGAGGACAACAUCAAGAAAUUCUGAAAAACUUUGGGAAGAAUAUGAGUUAAGUGAACAUAUUUGGACAUGAAGACACAGGUCUGGUAAACGUUCACAUCACGUCAUGACAUUAAAAACCCUUUUCCAGUAAAAAGCUUUUCUCUCUGUGAUGCUCUGACUGACCCUUCAUUCUCACCUCAAACAAUCUUCAGUCUACCUCCUGUGAACCAACAACAGCAGUAUUUCAUAAAUUAGAGCCGACACCAGCCGCUGAUGAAUAAUGCAUUGAUGCACAGGGAACUUUGUAACCAGGGUGAGAUUUGUCAAAAAAACUGAGAGGCAGAUGUUUUUGUUUUGUUUUUUUUGUUUUUUUCAGUCAUAAAAAACAAGCAAUCAACAGGCUUAAUUCUUUUUUAAGUUAACGGU